rnacentral:rRNA from 1 species
CAGUAGCCGCGGUAAUACGUAGGUGGCAAGCGUUGUCCGGAAUUAUUGGGCGUAAAGGGCUCGCAGGCGGUUUCUUAAGUCUGAUGUGAAAGCCCCCGGCUCAACCGGGGAGGGUCAUUGGAAACUGGGUAACUUGAGUGCAGAAGAGGAGAGUGGAAUUCCACGUGUAGCGGUGAGAUGCGUAGAGAUGUGGAGGAACACCAGUGGCGAAGGCGACUCUCUGGUCUGUAACUGACGCUGAGGAGCGAAAGCGUGGGGAGCGAACAGGAUUAGAUACCCCCGUAGUCCCUGUCUCUUAUAC